rnacentral:rRNA from 1 species
GCCUGCAGCUUGCUGCGGGUACUCGAGUGGCGAACGGGUGAGUAACACGUGGGUGAUCUGCCUUGCACUUCGGGAUAAGCUUGGGAAACUGGGUCUAAUACCGGAUAGGACAGCUGUUUAGUGUCAGUUGUGGAAAGUUUUUUCGGUGCAAGAUGAGCUCGCGGCCUAUCAGCUUGUUGGUGGGGUAAUGGCCUACCAAGGCGUCGACGGGUAGCCGGCCUGAGAGGGUGUACGGCCACAUUGGGACUGAGAUACGGCCCAGACUCCUACGGGAGGCAGCAGUGGGGAAUAUUGCACAAUGGGCGGAAGCCUGAUGCAGCGACGCCGCGUGGGGGAUGAAGGCCUUCGGGUUGUAAACUCCUUUCGACAGGGACGAAGCGUAAGUGACGGUACCUGUAUAAGAAGCACCGGCUAACUACGUGCCAGCAGCCGCCGGUAAUACGUAGGGUGCGAGCGUUGUCCGGAAUUACUGGGCGUAAAGAGCUCGUAGGUGGUUUGUCGCGUCGUCUGUGAAAUUCCGGGGCUUAACUCCGGGCGUGCAGGCGAUACGGGCUGACUUGAGUGCUGUAGGGGAGACUGGAAUUCCUGGUGUAGCGGUGAAAUGCGCAGAUAUCAGGAGGAACACCGAUGGCGAAGGCAGGUCUCUGGGCAGUAACUGACGCUGAGGAGCGAAAGCAUGGGUAGCGAACAGGAUUAGAUACCCUGGUAGUCCAUGCCGUAAACGGUGGGCGCUAGGUGUAGGGGGCUUCCACGUCUUCUGUGCCGUAGCUAACGCAUUAAGCGCCCCGCCUGGGGAGUACGCCGCAAGGCUA